CAAACUUUUUGUGUUUAUUUUACCAAAUAUGGUUUGUAAAAGAAACAGAUAUGUCAAAAUGUAAAUUUGUUAUUCAGAUAUUAUCCCCCUUGUGGGAUUUCAAAUCUUCAUAAAAUCGUUGUUAGCGUGCUCCUACUUAAGCUGUUCUGAUACUUCUCAUUCUGUUUUUGAUGCCAGUUAUAGUAGUAUAGUUUAAAUUUAUUUAAAAGGAUUAAAGUCUAACAAAUUGCAACUUGAUUAUGCAUCAAGGGAAAACCCCUUGUGUUUACUUUUCUGUUAUUUAAUUGCUUUGUUAUUUUGAAGGUUAAAAAUAGUCCUUUGUAUUUUAGAAUCUUAAAAUUAUUUGUUUUAUCAUUUCUUACUCUCAGAGUUGUCCAUAUCUUGCCUCCUCACUUAGAAUAGGUGUUCUAUUAGGUGGCAGUCUCUGCUUUUGUGUAGUGUUUUAUAUUUUGUUCUUACACAUUUCGUUAGUAGCUCACAUAAGUAUAUUUCUGAGGAGUGAAUUUCAAAUUAUUUCUGUAUAGAUAUAAAAUGUCUCAGUUGCUUAUACUUCUACCACUGUCUUCGAGCUUACUGAAAAAAGUUAAAGUUUUUGGGUUUGGAGAUCCAUAAAGGAUAAUAAAUGUUUCAGUUUAAGUUUACUCCAGUCAGUAGAAAAUCAUGUUUGUCCAUUGGUCAAAAAGGAUGCUGUUUUUUUCCACCAUAGGUUCUGAUUCUGCAGUCCUAUCUGAUGGACUCUACACAGGUAUAAUAAUCUGUUGCAUGGAUCAGGCUGGAGGAUAGGGGUCUUAGUUUCUUUUUGAGAUUAAACUUUAUUUACCUUUAUAAGUGCAAGCUUCUUCGUACCUCACCACCAGUGUAGGCUAUAGUAUGUGUCCAUUCUUAAUAUGACAUUUAGCACCUACUGUACUAUUGUAAAUAGGAGUAUUCCAGUUUGCACAUCUCAGUACCAUUUUCCAGGAAAAUUCCUGAUUAUAUUCAAAAUUCUUACAUUCUCUAGUUAUUUUAGCACAGCAUAUGGUCAGAAAAUCCCUUAAUUUCAUGUAUGGAGAAUUCAUUUUAAGAAACUGUUUCAUAUUCUGAAUUAGAGCAAAAGAGAUAUCCACUAAUAUGAGGAAGGUAGAUUGUGGAAAGAGAGGGAAAAAUCAGAGAAAUCUUUGUUUGGGUUAGUGUUCUUAGGCAUUGAGUUAAUAAACUUUUUUUACUUGAUACUCGUUCAUUUUUAGUAUUUAGUAGAUGUAGACUUAUGGACACAAACAGAGCUAUAACUAGAAUCCACUUAAGCGGAUACCUGCUUAAUCAGGGUGGUACUCCUGCACUGUCAUCAAGUUAGACUUUUACUGAAAUCUUUCUGAUGCCUUAACUCUUUAGACAAGAAAUCUCUUUGGUAAUGAUGAAUAAUUUUCUUUUAACUGUGAGAAUACUUUGUGAAAAUUUUGCAAAUCUAAAUGAAAAUCAAAUAUGUAUAUUAUUCUGAUUGACACAUGAUCUUUGAUUUGAAUAAAAGUUGUUUGACAACAAAAGAAAAUUGCCAAUGUGCAGCAUAAGGGUUCACCAGAUUUUGGUAAGUAAUAUCUUUUCCCCAAAAUGGAUACAUUAGCUAUGCAUUGCUUAGAGUACAGAGUGUGGGUGGUUUUUGGUGUUUGUGCAGUUUGGGGUUUGGGGGUUUUUUUUAUUUUUUUUGUUUUGUUUUGUUUUUUUGUUUUUUUGAGUACCCUCAUUAAAGAUCCAAUGAAUAUAGAAAAUAUUGAACUGUCUUAUCAAGGAUUGACCUGAUUGUUUUUAACUAAAAUAAUUGACUGUGGAUAUUUGUGCUCUAGACACAUAGCUGAUCCGAAUUAGAAAAUGUUUCUCAGAACUGUUAAUAGACAGUCAUUCUUUCAAAUUGUUGAGGAAGAGAGUGAGAGAAAAAUAUGUAUGAUUUUUUUCCCAUUUGAAAUAUAUUACCUGUGGUUCUGCCAUACUACUGCUAUACACUUUAAAAAAAAAACAACAAAAAAAAACCCCAUCCUUUUUUUGAGGUAGUUUUUAUUCUUCUGCCUCAUUCUUAAGGCUAAUAUUUCAUCAUGGAUAUUUUUAGUAAAAGUCAUGGGCAAUAAUGAAAAAUUCCCAGAAGCCCAUGACCUGUCCCUGAAUUUUACUAAAAAUAUCCAUGACAAAAUGGGGAGCCUGGGCAGCUCCAGGGGCCCUCUCUGCUGGCAGCUCUGAGUUGCAGGGAGCACAGCCUCCUGGGGCAGCAGGGGAGCGACCGGGAGCUCUGGGGGUCCCCCUAGCACCCACGGAGAUGGAGAGCUCUGGGGGCCCACCCUGCCACCCAUGGAGGUGGCUGGGAGCUGCGGGGAUCCCCCCUGCCACCCAUGGAAGUAGAGAGCUGCUGGGGGCCCCCUGCCGCUCAGGGUGGCUAGGAACUCUGGGGGUCCCCCUGGGUAACACGGAGGCGGAGAGCUGUGGGGUCCCCACUGCUGCCCACGCGGUGGCCGGGAGCUGUGGGGGGGUCUGCCUGCUGGCACUGGCUGAGGUCACGGAAGUCUUUGGAAGUCACGCAUUUCGUGACCUCUGUGACUAAAUCGCAGCCUUACCCAUUCUCAUUCCCCCAUUAUUCCCUACUGCAUUUCUCCAACUUUCCACAGAAUCAUGCUGCCAACCGCCUUUGUCAAGUGAGAUAAAGGAAGACACAAAACUUCCACUGAAGCUUCUAUUAGUUAGUUCGGUCGAUAAACAAAGAAACUCAAAAGAUGAUUUGCUAAAAAGAGGCUAAAAUAGGGAAAGAACACAUUAAAAAUUACUUAGACAAGUUAGAUAUCUUCAAGUCACCAGGGCCUGAUGAAAUACAUCCUAGCAUACUCAAGAAGGUGACUGAAGAUAUCUGAGCCAUUACUCAAGGAUCUGGGGUA